rnacentral:lncRNA from 1 species
GAUCCUCAAAGUACAGUGGUCUAACUAUUGAUCAUGGGGCAAAAUUUGGGACCAGCAAAGAGAUACAGGUCAGGCGUGGUGGUUCAAGCCUGUAAUGCCAGUGCUUUGGAAGGCCAAGGUGGGCAGAUCGCUUGACCUCAGGAGUUCCAGACCAGCCUGGCCAACAUGGUGAAAUCCCAUCUCUACUGAAAAUACAAAAAUUAGCUGGGCAUGGUGGUGAGUGCCUGUAAUUCCAGCUACUCUGGAGGCUGAGGCAGGAGAAUCACUUGAACCUGGAAGGUGGAGGUUACAGUGAGCCGAGACUGUGCUACUGCACUCCAGCCUGGGCAUCAGAGCCAGACUCUGUCAAAACACACACACACACACACACACACACACACACACACGCACACACAGAAACACAGAUACAAUGAUUCUUGAAAAUAUUGGACAGUAUAUCUAUUUUUUUGUUAAAUGGAUUGCAGUGGUGUUGUGAGGAAAACAUUUUUGGGGAGUAACAGCUAAGACUGUACUAUCAAUAUCUGAUAAAUCUCUGUGUUAUUUUUCAUUAAUAUUUUACAUGGCAUGCUGAAAAAUACCCAUCCAAUGAAAUCUCCUUACAGAUUUCUGCUCAGUUGUCUCUGGGGUCCUUUAAAUUGUCCCAGAAAUCCAAAAAAUCACGGCUACUUCAAUGGAAAACACAAGUCCUAGUUCUGGUGACAAAAUAUCUUCCUGACUUAAAAAUUAGAGACGGGGUUUCACCGUGUUAGACAGCAUGGUCUCGAUCUCCUGACCUCGUGAUCCGCCCGCCUCGACCUCCGAAAGUGCUGGGAUUACAGGCGUGAGCCACCGCGCCCGGCCUCCACUUUUCAUCUUCCAGACCCGCAAAACCUAUUGUCCUUUGCAUUUCCUCUAUUUAAAUUUUAUAGAAAACAUAAUCUUCUUGAUACCAUCAUUUUGGAGAUGAGAAAUGGCAACUACUUCAAAAUGAAUCUUCAACAGCAGUUGGAGGAGAUUUAAAGACAAUGCAUGCAUGAAGAUGGGCGUGAGAUGCCAGUAACUCCAUGAAUUAGAGUUUCACAUAAGCCAAACCCUCACAGAAUGUCUGCAAAAAAACCCAAGGAAGACGGGGAUAGUUUGACCUCAGCUGUCCACUGCUAGUGGAGAGUAUUUAAGAUAAUCAUUUUAGUAACUUUAGGAUACAAUUAUUUUUAGGAUCUUCCUGUGCUAUUGGCAGUGGGCUGUUUCUCAGUUUGCUGUUGAUUUUUGGUCAAUAGCUGUUACAUGUUACAUGAUCAGAUGUUAUAAUCAAUUAGUUUUAUAUUUUUUCUUUUAAUUGUUUUCCAUAUUGAAACCCACGUGUCAUAAUCUAAUAAUGCUGGAGCUGCAGAGUGUCUCUGAGUUUGAUUUUUGCAAAGACAUUGAUGCAUUUCAAGAAACUAAAGAUAAUAAUGGCAUGGAUAAUAAUUAUACAUUACAUUAAAAAGAAUUAACAGGCGUGGGGUGGUGACUCACGCUUGUAAUCCCAGUACUUUGGGAGGCUGAGGCAGGUGGACCACCUGAGGUCAGAAGUUUAAGACUAGCCUGGCCAACAUGGUGAAAACCUGUCUCUACUAAAUUACAAAAAUAAGCCGGGCAUAUUGGCUCAUGCCUGUAGUCCCAGCUACUUGGGAGGCUGAGAAACAAGAAUCAUGUGAACCUGGGAGGCAGAGGCUGCAGUGAGCCGAGAUCACACCACUGCACUCCAGCCUGGGUGACAGAGAGAGACUCUGUCUCAAAAUAAAUAAAUAAAUAAAUAAAUAAAUAAAUAAAUAAAAAUAAAAGGAAUUAACAAAGAAUUUCUUGAUGGUAAAAUCACCCGUGUGUUUAUAUCAGUGGCCUUUAUGGCUCUGUGUGUCUGUAUGGUGUGGAGAGUGUAUCCUGAGCUAUGUUCCUCUUAUUUUACCUAUAAGCACAUGAUCUGCUUUAUUAUUAUAUUUAAAUAUCCUUAUUGAAUUAUAGUAUGAUGUGCAUUCACAUACAUUUUAUGUAUUUCAAUAAAGACAAAGCGGAGGUUCAACUUAUCCCUUUGUAUGUAACUAACUGUCAUUGUCUGUUUGCCUCAUGGAUCUUAAAAGCCUUCAAGGUGAAGACCAAGCUAAAAUUAUUGAUGUAUCCCCAAUACUCAUAAUAACAUCCUGUCCAAAGUGAUAGCUUAAUAACAGUUUGAAGAGUAAAUUAAUAACUUCAAGAUUAUUUUAUGUAUUUGAAGCUUAGGCAAAGGAGAGUCAAUGAUGCAUUAUCAGAAGACCAUAAAGGAUAUCAAUCUUGCAGACCUGGGAAACCAAGAUAAAUAAAAUGUAUGCUUUUCUAUCAUUCAUAGGGGUGCCCUGUGUGGGAUGUUUUGGCCGUUUUUAAACCUGACAAAAUCUGGCAAAGUUUGCCUUCUCUUGAGGUAUUCCUGGCCCUCCACCCUCCUGGCUUCCUGUAGAUUGCACCCACCCUUGUCCCAGAAGAAUGAAUUACUCACUUCCAGAGAAAAGAUAAUCAAAGUGUGGUAUAGAAUGACGCUGGAUGAGAAUGUUUGUUUCUCCAUAAUUCUGUAACGUCUUCGAGAGUUUGGAAUUUUAAUACCCCACCCUAGUUCACUUCCUAGCACAUAGUUGGUAUUCAAAUAAUUUCUUAAAGCAUAGUGUUCAAUAAAUCUUUAGAUAAAAAAAUUGUGAAAAGUAAAAAGUAUAUUUUAAUAGGAGUAAAACUAGACAUUAUGAUAGAAUCUGAAUAAAAAGGGAAGCAUGACCUUUAGCCUGGGGAAGAAUAUCCUAUAAGAAUUCCAUAGAAUAUCUCUUAGUAAAUGUAGUAAAAACACCCAUUGAUCAAAAGAAAUUGGAUCUAUGGCUCAUAAUAACAUCUCAUUGAUUGAAAAGCACUUUGUAAUAGCUUUCUUCCAUGUGAUAUCUGUCAGGCAUUAACCUUUCAGCCUCCUGAUCAUGUGAAAGGAAUUCUUUGCUUAUGCCACUGCUCAUAUGACCCCAUCCAUGACAUUUCAUAAAUUGCAUCUAUUGAACAGAGAUUUUGGGUUUUCUGGAACUGAAAAAUCCAUUGCCAAAGCAAGGCAUUUCUCUAUGGAUUGUAUGAUAGAAUUUAGCCAUAUGCUCUAGAGACCUGGAGCUAUUUUAGCAAACUUGACUACCUCUGAAAAAUGACUACUUACAAAGAGAUAAGUAAGUUUCAAAUUUUAGAACAUGUAGGGUUCACAUAGAAAUACAUUUAGAAGCAAUCAUAUAUUUAUUUACUCUUUUAAGGACACAUUUAAAAACAUAAAGUGUUCCUCUUAUUUAAAGCAAUGAGUUAAAAUUAUACCAAAUUCUGUACAUAAAAAAGUGAAUAUGCUAAUAAAAUAGUCCACCAAGUUUUAUUAUUAACACUAGGAAAUCAAUCUGCAUGUCCUAACAAAUAAAUAACAAAAUAGAUGAGCAUUUUAACAAAAUAUAAUCUCUUGUAAUUCCAGCUUCAAGCUUGUGUUGCUUUCUUAAGCAGAAAU